UCGCCAUUUAAAGUGGUACGCGAGCUGGGUUUAGAACGUCGUGAGACAGUUCGGUCCCUAUCUGCCGUGGGCGCUGGAGAACUGAGGGGGGCUGCUCCUAGUACGAGAGGACCGGAGUGGACGCAUCACUGGUGUUCGGGUUGUCAUGCCAAUGGCACUGCCCGGUAGCUAAAUGCGGAAGAGAUAAGUGCUGAAAGCAUCUAAGCACGAAACUUGCCCCGAGAUGAGUUCUCCCUGACUCCUUGAGAGUCCUGAAGGAACGUUGAAGACGACGACGUUGAUAGGCCGGGUGUGUAAGCGCAGCGAUGCGUUGAGCUAACCGGUACUAAUGAACCGUGAGG
rnacentral:rRNA from 1 species